GGUCGGUUAGCUCAGUUGGCAGAGCAUCGCAAUCACACCUCUUCACGAGAUUGGAUACCUGCGAAGGUCAUAGGUUCAAGCCCUAUACUGACCA